CGCUCAUCUGCGCCCUCUCUCUCAAAAAACUAAAACAAAAAUAGACAUAUAAAAUUAUAAACAAAUUAGGAUUGACUCACAGUCUGUAGGCCCACAGCUACUGGGUUAAAAUAAGAAAUAAACAAGCAAACAAACUAAACCAUGAACACUGUCUCUAAAUUCAUUUUGAAUUAAAAAAAUUUUUUUUAUUUAUUGUUGAGAGAGAAAGAGAGAGAGACCAAGAGCAAGUGGGGGAUGGGCAAAGAGAGAAGGAGAUCCAGAAUUCGAAGCAGGCUCCAGGCUCUGAGCCUGCUCUGUCAGCAUAGAGCUCAAUGUGGGGAUCAAACUCACAAACCAUGAGAUCAUGAACUGAGCUGAAGUCAGAUGCUUAACUGACUGAGCCACCCAGGUGCCCCCUCUAAGUUCACUUUGAAGUCUUACAUUCUGUGAUUCCAACCUCCCCAUCCAGGUUCCUGACAUGACUUGGAUGUCCCCUACACUGAUAGGUCCCUCAUGCCUCAUUUCUGUGUGAUGUUGUCACCUGUUUGUUUUAUUUGCUAACUGUAAAAGAUCACCUUUGGACGAAAUCACGAAACUGUGAUGAGACACUACAGGACCCUAUCAUCAGCCAUUUCUUCUCACUUUUCAAAUUUAUCUGUCUUUUUUAAAUUUUAUUUUUAAAAUGGUGGUAAAAUAUACAUUAAAGUUGACCAUUUUAAAAAAUAUGUUUAUUAUUUUAAGAGGUAAGGGGCAGAAAGAGAGAGAGAGAGAGAGAGAGAGAGAGAGAGAAUCCCAAACAGACUCCAUGCUCUGUGCAGAGCCGACGUGGGGCUCAAUCCCACGAACUGUGAAAUCAUGACUUGAGUGGAGAUCAAGUUAGAUGCUUAACCAACUGAGCCAUCCAGGAGCCCUUUAAAGCUUACCAUCUUACCCAUUUUUAAGUGUACAGCUCACAGUGACAUAGCACAUUUACAUUGUUGUGCAGGCUUCGUCACUACCCAGCUCCACAAUGUUUUCAUCUUCCUCAAUUGGAACUCUGGACCCAUUCGACAGUAAUGGCCUCUUGCCCCCGCCCCUGGCUACCACCAUUCUACUUCCUGUCUUUGUAAAUCUGACUGUUCCAGGUGGCUCAUGUAAGUGGAAUCAUAGAGUGUUUGUCCUUGUGUCUGUUUUAGUUUCCUUAUACUGUCCUCAGGUUUCAGCCAUGGUGUGGCAUGUAGAAUUUCAUUCCCUUAUCAAGGAUAAAUAAUAUUUCAUUGCAUCUAUCAGCUACAUUUUAUCUAAUUCAUCUAUCUGUUGAUGGACACUUGGGUUGCUUCUGCAUGUCGGGUUUUGAACAACGCUGCAAGGGACAAGUGUCUACAAAUGUCUAUUUGGGCUCCAGCUUUUUAUCUGGGGUAUGUGCCCAGAAGCAGAGUUGCUGGAUCAAAUGGUAAUUCAAUAUUUAAUUUUUUGAGGAAAGGCCAUACAUUUUUCCUACCAUUUUAUAUUCAUACCAAUGGGCAUAAGGGUUCCAAUAUAUAUAUAUAUAUAUUUUUUUUUCUGUGCUUCCCCCCCUUUCUUCUUCUCUUAAAUAUUUGCUUAGUCUGUAGUGCUGAAGAACAUAAUUUUGUGGUAGGUUUUAGUAGAAAAAGUGGAACAAUUGCUUAGCUUUCUGUUAUUUAUUACUAUUAUUAAUAUUACUGCAUUCAUGUUCUUGAAAUUGGAAUGAGUCUUAAAAAUAAGCAUCAAAAGAAACUUGCCCAUUGCCAAUUAUAAAAUAAGUCUCAUCACCUAUGUACCUACCAGUGCAGCCACGCUUUGCAGAUUCUAUGUAUCUAUUGGGUUAACUUAAUUAUUUCCAUUGAUACGUUUCAUGGUGUUGCAUGUUAAUUGUCAUUUGGAACGUUAAUAAAUAAAUAUCUUCCAAAAAAUUACACCAUGACACAACAUUGAGACCCAAAGACAAAAAUGUCACAGAAGAUUGUUCUAUGACAGGCGAUGCAAUGAAAAACAGGAAAAACUGCUAAAUCUGCCGAGUGUUAAUAGAACCCCCCCCACCCCCAGCAAAUCAUAAGAUUCGCAGACAUAAAUGACACUUAAAAAAUGUAAAGACCAAAAUGUGGAGACAAAUGUAAAGCAGAACAUAAUAUAAGUUUCUGUCUUUGGAUGCAUUUAUCAGAAAGUAGGUGGGCAUGAAAACAUCCCCUGUCCCUUAAGAUGACACAUGUGUUAGAAUAGCUGCCCGGAUUCCAACAUGGAAGGCACGGGUUGAGGUCCUGCACGUCUGGAUUGCCUGUCGAUAUCUUGACCUUUAGUCAGAGCCAAAGAAAUUUCUGUCUUUCUUAAGCCACAGCAAGUUUGGACCCUGUUACGGCAUCCUAACCAACAGAGACCUACUUCACCCCGCAUGAACGACCAGCUUCUCCGUGAACUGGAAACCUAAAUUGGAAAGUUUAAGCCGUAACACUAACAAAGGAAAGAAAGGAAAAUGUCUUUGGAACUUGAGGGAGAGAAAAGGUUUUAAACAAAAUACCAAAGAGUACGAUGCAUGAGAGAAAAAAAAAAAAUGAGAGAGAUUCGACUCCACAAAAAUUAAGGAUUUUUGUUGAAUGAAGGACAGCACAGAAAAAGUGACAGAUGAGAAGGUAAGAAGACUUGUUUAAGGGGCGCCUGGGUGGCUCAGUCGGUUGAGUGUCUGACUUCGGCUCAGGUCAUGAUCUCGCAGUUCGUGAGUUCGAGCCCCGCGUCGGGCUCUGGGCUGAUGGCUCAGAGCCUGGAGCCUGCUUCCGAUUCUGUGUCUCCCUCUCUCUCUGCCCCUCCCCCGUUCAUGCUCUGUCUCUCUCUGUCUCAAAAAUAAAAAUAAACGUUAAAAAAAAAAUUAAAAAAAGAAAAAAAAAAGAAGACUUGUUUAAGAUGGAAAAGUAGACCACAGGUCAAUAUCUACACGAUACAAGGAACUCUAGUGAGUCAACAAGAAGGAGGCAACUGUAUCCAUUUUCUGUAUGCUGCUGUGUCAUAUGACCACAAACUCACUGGCUUAGAACGACAAAAAAUUGUUAUUUUACAGUUUUUCAGAUCCAAAGUGUGACAAGGCUAUCCCUGGCUAAACUCAAGGUGUCUGCAGGGUUAUGCCCUCUCUCCAGACUCUAGAGGAAAAUCCCUUUCUUGCCUUUUCCAGCUUCUGGAGCUAAUAGCAUUCUCUGGUCAUCAUCAAAGCCGGUGAUAGCAAAUGAAUCUCAUGCUGCCUGUGACCUCCUUUUUUGUCCUCCCCCCCACCUUUAAAGCCAUUUAUUUGUUUAUUAUUUAUUUAUUUAAUGUUUAUUUUUGAGAGAGACAGCAUGAACCAGGGAGGGGCAAAGAGAGAGGGGGACAGAGGAUCCAAAGCGGGCUCCGCGCUGACAGCAGUAAACCCAACGAGGGGCUCGAACUCACAAACUACAAGAUCAUGAUCUGAGCCGAAGUCAGAGAUUCAAUCAACUGAGCCACCCAAGCACCCCUUAUAGUUACACUGGGCCCACUAAGAAAAUCUAGGAUAAUUUCUCUAUGUUAAACUCAUCUGAUUAACAACCUUAAUUCCACCUGCAACUUUAAUUCUCCUUUGUCAUGUAAAGUAAGAUGCUCAUAGGUUCCAGGGAGCAGGAUGCGGACAUCGUUGGGGGAACUAUUAUUCUGCUAACUAGGUACACAUCAGAACAAAAGACAAAGGAUUUGAAUUUGCAGAGGGGGAAACACUUAGGAUUAACAAAUUAUGGCCAGAAACUACCAGUACAAUGAUCUUAAGUGUCAUCUGUUCAUUUUUUAAUCAGAAUAUUUACUAAGCAGACAACAUGGGCACAACUCCUGUGGAAAAGCACAGAUGGAGAGGUCUUCAAGUGGUCAGCCAAAGGUCCCUGUGAAACCCAGUCUUCCCUAGACCUUCGGAAGUGUCCUAAAAUACUGUCAGUAAGAAGUGUAUUCAUUGUAGAGACCUGCUAUGCGAGAAGACGUUCUUUAGAAUUCCAAGACUUUUGUCUUCAUUUCAGAGUCAACAUGACACGGUGUUUAAUCUGAUUGCUGUGCAAGGUUACCUUCACAAAUUAAGAGAGGGCUCAAAGCAUUUUUUAAAGAAAUUACCAGUGUUAGCCCUAGACUGCCUUUUUGCCUUAACUGAUAUCCCACUUUCCCUUAGAGAUACUUAACUUUAAAAUUGAGUCAGCACUGAAAAAAAAAAAAAAAAUCCACACUAUCAAAAUGCACUCUGUAGAAGUGACUAGAAUCAGUAUUUUAUUUACAGAUCCAAGAUGCAUUCAACAUGGCUGUCUCACCAGCCAAGGCAGGGCUGAAAGUCAGGGUCAUUUUCGGAACUUCAAUUAAAUAGAUUACAUUCAGCAGGGGCACAAAUGGAGGCCAUUAUCAUUAAAGUUGAGUUGAGAGAGAGGUUGCAAACGUGGGCACCGCCUGAAGAUCACAGGAAAAUGUGUGUUUUUGCUAGAUCUGUAAAGAGUUGGCUUUUAUUUCUUUUCCCUGGAAGUUACACUUGCCAGGAAUCAUGUAUCUGACUAUAAUAAUGAGGUUAUAUGACUUUACAUAUUGAAAAGAUACCUAAACAUAAUAACAAUAUUACUUUGAACUUGCACUGGACUCUUCAUCCAAGAACUUCUCCAUCAUUAGCUAAUCGAAUCUCACGGUGUGGAAAUGAAAGUAUCUACUUACCUCACUUUACCAAAGGGAGUGUUUCUGAGAGGUUAAGUGACAGUGAACAUUUAAAUGGAAGGUAGUAGGGAAAUGGGGACAGAAAUGUCUUGCUGAAUAAUGUAGAUAUCUGGGAAUGAAACUCAAAGGUUCACAUAAGGGCCAUUCAUCUAAUCGAACACUUUAAUUUUUCUUUUUUAAUGUUUAUUUUUGAGAGAGACAGAGCAUGAGCAGGGGAGGUGCAGAGAAAGAGGGAGACACAGAAUCGGAAGCAGGCUCCAGGCUCUGAGCUGUCAGCACAGAGUCCAAUGUGGGGCUCGAACUCAUGAACUGUGAGAUCAUGACCUGAGCCGAAGUCAGACACUCAACCAACUGAGCCACCCAGGUGCCCCUAAUCGAUCACUUUAGAAGGCUACAUCUAAAUGUCACCAGAUAUAUAGAAAAUGCUGCUUUCAUAAGUUCUCAGAAAAGGACACUCUUCUAAUUCUCCUUACCAAACUAUGUUGAUGUCUUUACAAAUUAAGUUCUUUAUAAAAUAAAUUUUUGUUUUCAACUUAA